ACUAUUACUGCCGCGUGGGUCUGGGUGACACUAUGACUGCCGCGUGGGUCUGGGUGAUACUAUGACUGCCGCGUGGGUCUGGGUGAUACUAUGACUGCCCCGUGGGUCUGGGUGACACUAUGACUGCCCCGUGGGUCUGGGUGAUACUAUGACUGCCCCGUGGGUCUGGGUGAUACUAUGACUGCCGCGUGGGUCUGGGUGAUACUAUGACUGCCCUGUGGAUCUGGGUGAUACUAUGACUGCCCUGUGGGUCUGGGUGACACUAUGACUGCCCUGUGGGUCUGGGUGACACUAUGACUGCCCCGUGGGUCUGGGUGAUACUAUGACUGCCGCGUGGGUCUGGGUGAUGCUAUGACUGCC